rnacentral:rRNA from 1 species
AUUGAACGCUGGCGGCAGGCCUAACACAUGCAAGUCGAACGGUAACAGGAAGAAGCUUGCUUCUUUGCUGACGAGUGGCGGACGGGUGAGUAAUGUCUGGGAAACUGCCUGAUGGAGGGGGAUAACUACUGGAAACGGUAGCUAAUACCGCAUAACUUCGCAAGACCAAAGAGGGGGACCUUCGGGCCUCUUGCCAUCGGAUGUGCCCAGAUGGGAUUAGCUAGUAGUUGGGGUAACGGCUCACCUAGGCGACGAUCCCUAGCUGGUCUGAGAGGAUGACCAGCCACACUGGAACUGAGACACGGUCCAGACUCCUACGGGAGGCAGCAGUGGGGAAUAUUGCACAAUGGGCGCAAGCCUGAUGCAGCCAUGCCGCGUGUAUGAAGAAGGCCUUCGGGUUGUAAAGUACUUUCAGCGGGGAGGAAGGGAGUAAAGUUAAUACCUUUGCUCAUUGACGUUACCCGCAGAAGAAGCACCGGCUAACUCCGUG